UGGAGGCUGGUUCAUCUCAAAUGGCCUCAAGUCAAGCCAGCUCCUCUUUGUCCUCAUGGCCUGCAGUUCCUCAGGAAGCCAGCCCAGCUUGUUCCCAUGGCAACAAGGGAGGAUUCCUAGAAAGAGAGGACUCUGCAUGUUCCUUGGUGCUCUGUACAUGAACUACAUGAAGAGGAACAACCUGAAUUAUGUGAUUCGGUCCCAGGCGGGAGUCACGGAAAUUACAGGACAGUCCUCUGAGGGACGGCUGCAUGGACGAUACUAAGCUCAUAGGACUGUGAAGUUAACCCAUUAAAGGGGAAACCUUAGGAAGUUAACUUCUGUCUUCGAAGCGACAGGCAUUAGCUGCUUCUGAGAUACACUGAAUGGGGCUGACCUAUGUAGCCAACUCUAAGAAGCUAUGGCACGUGACGUCCAAGGCAAGGGAAACAUCUAUAUCUCAAAGAGGAGUUAGGAAAAUACUCCAUGGAUUCUUUCACCACAGGGAACGCAGAACCCUAAAAAGCAAAGCAUAAUUUCGAGAAGACAUCUCGUCCAGGCCAAUGGAUAACUUUUUGUUCCCCGUAACGGGGAGGGCUCUUCACGGAGAGAGACAGUAAGGUCAUUAUUCAUGCUGUAAGCCAGCCCACUUCAACUGCUGGUCUUCACAAUGCCUACAAGUGUGAAAAAAAAAAGAAUACAAAAAACCCACUUGCUUCCUUUUUCAUGAGUAUUGACAUUCUUGUGCAGUAUUAGGAGAGCUAAUUUAGCUUCCAGUUCUAAGAAUUUUUGAAUCUAUAGCCAGUAAUUAUUGGCAUUCAGAGGUACAAAAGAAGAAAACAAAGCCUGCAAAUUCUAGCACAUUCAUGUGGGAUUGGGAGCUGAAUUAGGAUCCUCACACCCCAUUGAAUGAUCAGCCCCCCUAUUAGAGCCUUAUUAAAAUGGUAAUGAUUAUAUGCCAGCUAUAGGCAGGCAGCCGCACCUGUCAAAAACUACCCGAUUAUCCUGUUCAUUGAACUGUCUGGCUCUUGAAUCAGUGUCUCAGGUUUACUCCUCUGAAGUUUUUUUGUUUUUUUGUUUUGUUUUUUCCUGCUCCCCGUCUUAAAUAAAAAUUUAAAAAGGAUACAAGAACAA